AUUGAACGCUGGCGGCAGGCCUAACACAUGCAAGUCGAGCGAGCGGCGGACGGGUGAGUAAUGUCUGGGAAACUGCAUGAUGGAGGGGGAUAACUACUGGAAAAGGUAGCUAAUACCGCAUACCAUCGGAUGUGCCCAGAUGGGAUUAGAUAGUAGGUGGGGUAAAGGCUCACCUAAGCGACGAUCCCUAGCUGGUCGGAGAGGAUGACCAGCCACACAUGAACUGAGACACCGUCCUGACUCAUACGGGAGGCAGCAGUGGGGAAUAUUGCACAAUGGGCGCAAGCCUUAUGCAGCCAUACCGCGUGUAUGAAGAAGGACUUCGGGUUGUAAAGUACUUUCAGCGGGGAGGCGUUACCCGCUGAAGAAGCACCGGCUAAACCCGUGCCAGCCGCCGCGGUAAUUC
rnacentral:rRNA from 1 species